AAUAACUCAACAACAAAACGAACAUUCAGUCACUUGGAAGCAAAAGUUUCAAAGAGACUCGAUAGCUGCAUUGACAAAGCAAUGCUACAAAUGCCAAACUAUAAGAGAAAAUUCACCAGAACCUUGCUUUCAGGAAAAUGCAGAUCUAUUUGUGGGAGCAAGAAGAGGAAAUCCUUGAUUGUUUUCAUGUAUAUUUUCUGAAAUCAGCUGCUGCUAUUGCUUCUACAAGUCGCUUCUGGUGUGAGAGAAUUGGCCGUCUACAGAGACAGUGCCCAGGGGCACGCGGAUGUGUUACCAUACUGCUGGGAGGCUUCUCUCAUGUCUCCACAAGCUAGAGCUGACAGACGGGAGCUCACUCCAUCCCGCAGAUUCGAACCGGCAACCUUCAGUGCAGCAACCCAACCUUCAGGUCAGCAAUCCUGCCGGCACAAGGGUUUAACCCAUUGCGCCACCGCAGCUCCAUGAAGUGACUUGCAGUAUGUUCUCAAGUCGCUUCUCAUACAAUAAAAAAAACAACUCACUGCCAUAUGUACAGGACAACAGAUUUUAUUUUGGCAAUGGCUACAGAAGCACUGAAAAUGUAGACCAGUUAUUGCAAACGACGCCUGGAUUCUACCAAUAACGGACUGCUACUUCAUAGGACAUGAAAGCCAGGAGACUAUUACAGAAUUCAUUCAGAGGAGGGAAAGACUCCAACCCCCAACUGACGGAAUUCCAAACUCCAACUGAAAAAUAAUUCUCUGGCUACCUAACUCCAACCAUCACUUUGGCUCCGCCCAUCUACAGUUGCUAAGCAACUCGUCAUUUGCAUCAGCCAAUCAGACUGCACUGAAAGCAAUGGCUGCCUGAUUGCUCCUCCCCCUUGCUCUGCUGAGCUUCUGCAAGUAAGGCCUGCAAAAAUGGCCGCACACCAGCACUUAAAGGUAGGCCACUCACCAACCUUGUAAGAUAGGCAAGAUCCGUUACACUAGCCUUCAUUUGUAUAAGGUCUAGAAAUUUUAAUCAAAAAAUAAACCCAAAGAAAUUGGGUUGACUUAUCCAUGGGUCAGUGUGAGUACAGAACCUUAACACUUAACAGAAAGGAAUCAUCCCCUUCUCCGAGCAAGAGCGGUAAAAAGCAAGAGAUCAGUUCAUCCCAGGAGAACUUAAAAGAAGCACUAACCUCUUUUACUUUCUCCACCAUAGUGCUGCUUAUGACCUUUUUAAAUGCCUGUGCGGGGAAAUAAUUCUCGGCUUAUCCAUGGGUCAUAUCACAUUUGGCUCCCAAACAUGCUCUCGACUUAUACAUGAGGUUAAUUUAUACAUGCAUAUGUUUUUUAAUCCUUUUUCUUUGUUCUAUUAUUACCAUUUAAAAGUUGUAUUAAGGCUCAGAUGCCUGCUACCAGAAUAUUCAUUAAUCAGGACUCCUCUCCUUCACCCUCCUUCCCUAAACUGAAAAAGUCAAUAAGUCAGUUUUACCUCCUAAGUGGCACAUCUUAAAUCUUUUAUUAGAUCUACGAUUAGAAUACUGAGACCGUGAGAACUAAGAUGUUGUCACUGUCUUCCUUUCAAUUCUUAAGCUCCAUAAAUAGGAUAACAAGUGUGCCUAAAAGCCACUGAUUCCAAAAAUCAUUUACUUCAACAGAAACUUUAGUUGAUGCUACCAGAGAAACAUUUUUGUUACUCUGUGUUCAGAGAGCCAGAGGAAAGUUUGACCAAUAAUUGUCUAAAAUUACCCUUUCCUAUCCCUCCUCCCCCCCCCCCCCUUGGUACUCAAGAAGUCAGUUGCUUUCCAAAAAUUGACUAUGGUAGGAAUGUUCGAAGUGGCCAAAUCUCUCCCAAACCAAUAAAAACCUCGUAAAAGGGAAAAUGUGCAUCUUCAGGUGGAAAAACAGAGAAAUAAUAUUUCCAACUGGCCAGCUGAACCAUUCAGGAGCCAGUGGAGUCAGUAAAAGAGACAUCAGUUUUACACAGCUGGGGUAUAUAGUUUGGGAAGAAAUCAGCUUACAGGGACAAAAAGAGACUGGAGAGGAAUAGUAUUUCUUUUGCUGUAUAGAAAUGCCUUUGAAGGCAGUAUGCUUCUUGUCAAGUAAGAUGCUUUUGUCCCAGAUGUGGUUCUGAAUGCUCUAAGUCAGGUAGGAAGACCCAGUAUACUUAGAUGAUGUGGACUACAACUCCCACAACCCUGAAUGGUCAUGUUUGUUGAGGCUUAUAGUAGCUUUAUCCAAAAACAUGUGAAGAGCAGCUCAAAUGAACAUAGGAAAACUGCUAACUUUCCCCCCCUGUGUUUUUCCCUUCAAAUUUCCAUUCCCCCUACAUUAACAAACACGGUUCCCUUCACCAGAAGAUUGUUCCUCUUCUCACUUCAAAAUAGCCACUUUCCUUUAAAAAAAAGAUGGUUUAAGGCAGAAAUGGGCCUCUAAACGGCAAAAGACCCUGAAUUCCUCCAUACAAAUUGUCUUUCUGUUCCCCAACACCUCUACAUUUUUCAGUGCUGAAUGCUUCUGGUCACAGCUCAUCCAUAGGCCAUACUUCAAUUACUUUCAAUCUAAGAUACAACUAAAUUACCAAGGACUGUGAGGCAACAAGGGCUACCUUUACAUUGUAGCUUUGUUUGUUGUUGUUAUGUACCUUUAAGUUUUCCUAUCUGAACUGAGAGAGUGCAACCUGCUCAAGGUUACCCAGGGGGAUUCCAUGGCUGAGGAAGAUUUGAACCCUGGUCUCCAGAGUCACAAUCCAACACUAGGCUUGUGCUAAUAGUGUAACAUUAGUUGUUCUAGUAACUAUAUGUAGCCUCACAACUUCAGUGGGUUGUAGGACAACAGCCAGCGAGUUGUCGAGGGCCUUCAUGGCCAGAAUCACUGGGUUGCUGUGAGUUUUCUGGGCUGUAUAGCCAUGUCCCAGAGGCAUUCUCUCAUGACAUUUUGCCCACAUCUAUGGCAGGCAUCCUCAGAGGUUGUAGAAACUAGGCAAGUGGGAUUUAUAUAUAUGUGGAAGGUCCAGGAUGGAAGAAGGAACUCGUCUGUUGGAAACAGGGCUGUGAUGUCUUCUGGGAAAUCCUGGUUGAGUAGUGUGAUGGUUGAGUCUGCUACCGGGACCUUGGUAAAUAGAGACAUCACAUCGAAGCUAAUCAGUAUCAUUGGUGCUGAGCACCAAUGUUAGACUACAGAGAAGCCACUGAAAUCCACAAGCAUAUGGACAAUUUCAACAGAAAGUAGGAAACCAUGAAAAUGAACAAAACCAGUAUUUAAAAAACUCUAAAAUCAGGACAGUAAAUGAAGAACAUUGAAAAAUAGAGGAAUACCAGGAAUGAAGCAAUCAGGAACAGCUAACACCUUCCAACAAAGGAUUCCCUCAGGCAGGAAGCAGCCAGGCUUUGAAGCUGAAAGGCCAUUCAAUGCUAAUCAAAGUGGCCAAUUGCAAGAUUCACACUUGCCUCCAAGAGACAAGAGUUCUUUCUCCCACCCUGGACCUUCCACAGAUAUAUAAACCCCACUUGCCUAGUUUCCAACAGACCUCACAACCUCUGCCUGCCAUAGAUGUGAGUGAAACGUCAGGAGAAAAUGCUUCUCGAACAUGGCCAUAUCGCCCGGAAAACUCACAGCAAUCCAGUCCCCAAGUUACAAACAAGAUAGGUUCUGUAGGUUUGUUAUUAAGUUGAAUUUGUAUGUAAGUCAAAACAUUUUUACAUUUUUAAAGUGUAACUUCAGGCAAAUACAGACAGACAGACAGACUGACUCUGUUUGGGCUCCUUUUAUCUCCCUUUGGCUUCUCCUUCAUCCCUUCCUUAGGCUGUAAAUUGUAAUUUUUUAUGAUUUAUAAUAUUCUUUUAGAGUUUACUGAAAAACCGUGAAACAGCAAAUCUGCAAAAAGCGAACUGCGAAGUAGUGAGGGAACACUGUACAUACAAAAAUUAGGAUUACUAUUAGCCUCUUGCUUUAAACGAUGGAUGCUCAAAACACAUCAAGAAGCCCUGAAAAAAAGGUAACCAGUGUUAAGAGCUCUGCAAUGAAAUAACAGAAUCUGGACAAACAACAAUAAAGUUUCCCCUUAUAAUGGGUUAAUAUCUGCUUUGUAUUUCACACUUUGUAUAAAGUAUGGUAUUUGCAUCUGCGGAACAAGUAGCUAUGGUUUCGUUUAUCUGUGUCCAACUAAAUAUGUCAUCCUUAGACAUUUUCUAGCUCCUCCCAUGCAAUUCUAUGGAAUUCUUAGGAUGUACAUCUUUCCUUUCUAUAGGGUCACUAUUAUCCAUGAUUUUACACAUCCACGCAAAGUCCAGGAGCAUAUUCUACCAUGGAUAUGAGAGUCAUUUCAUACAUAUGCUUAAACUGUGGAUAAAUUAGAUAUAUUCUAAGAAGAUAUUCUUUCUAAAGAAAGAAAAAGAUACAUCCUUCUAUUAAAAUAUACAUUCCUUCUAUUUUUUGAGAGGUAGUUGCAGAACAAGGGGACAUGAAUUGUUGUUGUUGAAGAAAUCCAUUCCAUUUUAAAUGUGGACAAUAUAUUUUAAAGAGUCACACCUUACAACUUCUGUAUUUUUUUAAAACUCACAAACUUAUUUUUAGAAAGCAUGUGAAACCAGAAAAAAUGAGUAUCAGCGUGUAAAAAUAUCUGCCAGAGUAGAGGGCCAAGAUUAGUCAGAACAACACUGCUGAGUUCUUGUUUCUUUGCUUUUAAUUACUGAAUCUUCACAGCGAUUUAAAGUUCAAGGCAUAAAAGUAUUCUCAGAUAGUGUUCCAUUUCAUAAAACAUUUGCAUUUAACGGAAUUCUAAGUGUGAGCCGCCCAACAUAAACACAAAAGAAUUGUACAAAGUUACAGACCAUAAGAAGUGACAAUUCUAUAGUCUUGGAAGGCUUAAUUCUCUUAUGCACCUUAAGUGACCCUUUGGAAGAUUAAGUCUACAAUCUUCACACGCUUUCGAAGAGUGUCUCCCUGAGUUCAGUUUGCAACUGGAUAAACAAACCCAGGACCGAUUGUUCUAUAUUCUGCUCAAACAUGCUAAAAUGUUUUUCCAUCAAAAUUUUGUAUUAAAUAUUUCCGUACAUAGCCAGUGACAAAUCAAAGUAAGAGGUUUCCAUAUCUGGAGAAAGAUGGUACAAACGUCCAACUGCUCCAAUUAUCAUCUAUUGCAAUUUUGAUCUAGAAACCUCUCCUUGCCGAUUAUGUUCUCCUGAGAAGGAUUAAUUUAUAAUCAAUGUACUUAAUUUAUCCAUUUCUCUGUAAUAUAAUCUCCAGUCAUUUCUAAGGGACUUUAUAAAACUCUAAAAGAACUAAGAGCUUCCAGAAAUUAUUAAUUUGUUGAGAAGACGUGUGAAGACUGUGAAACUUUGGGAGGAAAAUGCUAUUGAUGGGAAUCUAAAAGAAGAUGGCAAACCUCCUAAGUAACUGUUGCCAAGAAAAUCACAUGACAGUUUUGCCUUAGGGUCACUAUAAGUUGGAAAUGACAUGAAGGCACACAAACACAAGCUAAUGCAAGAAAGCCACAAGCAGCAAGUUGAAAGGGGCCCAAAUAAAUGGUAAUUAUAAUUAUAAUUAAGUAGUUAGGAUACAAUAUUCUAUUGGAAAUACAAGAAUCACUAUGGCCUUAUGCCCUUUGAAAAAUAAUGCCAUUAAAGAUUAAGAGUAGACCUCUUAGAAUUGAAUAGGUAACAAAGUAGUGAUUCUUUAUUUUCAGUUCUUCAGAUUGAAACAUCUAAUUUAGAAGGAAUUCUGUUCACAGUAGCACACAACAGAUUACAAUGAGUAAAUGCUGUGUUUGACAAUUUAUCAAGGUACACUCUGCUCCCAUCUACAACAUAUUAAGAUCUCAUUAUGGGUGCAAAGGCCAGGACACCCUGAACUCACCACGAAGAUGCAGCAAGUGUUGUCCUAUUUCUAACAGAUAUGUGAAUUGGGAUUUGCAGAUGUCACUCAAGAUGUAUGAUAGCUGUAGAUGUCUGUUGGAACUCACGGUUGGGUGUCUCACUUCACAGAUUACAGAAGGAGCCAGAAAAGAACAAACAUCUUGCUUCCUUUUGAUAACGUAUCAAACUCUUUGCAAGCUGAAUGUGGAAUGCAUGUUUCAUCAUAACCCCAAAUACAUGCAGAGGGGGAAGUGGGAUUAUAGUUCUCACUUCCUCAACCUACUCAGGCAAUGGUGUGUUCUGUCCACCAAUCCACAGAUCCUUGAAAAGACAGUAUCAAUAACCUUAAGCCCCAGCAUAAAGGUUUUUCAAAGAGUUGACCCUACUACCUACUCCCAUACAUGUGAUUCAACUGACAUACAUUAUUUUACAAAAAAAAAAUAUGUAUAACUUAAGAGUAUUUUGUUAAUGCAUGCUCAUUAGAAAGAAACUGCUAGUUUUGACUUAACAGUAAUGGAAAUAGUCUUCAUUCUUAAAGCACUGUGUAGAAAAUAAAAUUCUCUUCACAUAAUCAGUUUUUCAAAGUCAGCAAUUGUCUUUGUCUUCCUUCCUAAAAUGUAAACUCCGGGUAUCAGGAUUCAGUAGACUGCAAUAUCCAUAGUUUCCCAGAUUCCUGACAGACUUGAUUGCAGCUAAUUGUGUCCACUAAUAUCUAAA